rnacentral:rRNA from 1 species
CCUACGGGAGGCUGCAGUGGGGAAUAUUGGACAAUGGGGGGAACCCUGAUCCAGCCAUGCCGCGUGUGUGAAGAAGGCCCUCGGGUUGUAAAGCACUUUCAGUGAGGAAGAACGCCUGGUGGUUAAUACCCAUCAGGAAAGACAUCACUCACAGAAGAAGCACCGGCUAACUCCGUGCCAGCAGCCGCGGUAAUACGGAGGGUGCGAGCGUUAAUCGGAAUUACUGGGCGUAAAGCGCGCGUAGGUGGCUUGAUAAGCCGGUUGUGAAAGCCCCGGGCUCAACCUGGGAACGGCAUCCGGAACUGUCAAGCUAGAGUGCAGGAGAGGAAGGUAGAAUUCCCGGUGUAGCGGUGAAAUGCGUAGAGAUCGGGAGGAAUACCAGUGGCGAAGGCGGCCUUCUGGACUGACACUGACACUGAGGUGCGAAAGCAUGGGUAGCAAACAGGAUUAGAUACCCCGGUAGUC